UAGGAUUAAAAGAGUAUGCCCCCCA
rnacentral:piRNA from 1 species